UACGGGGGGAGCAAGCGUUGUUCGGAUUUACUGGGCGUAAAGGGCGCGUAGGCGGUCAGCACAAGUCAGUUGUGAAAUCUCCGGGCUUAACUCGGAAAGGUCAACUGAUACUGUGCGACUAGAGUGCAGAAGGGGCAACUGGAAUUCUCGGUGUAGCGGUGAAAUGCGUAGAUAUCUGGAGGAACACCGGGUGGCGAAGG
rnacentral:rRNA from 1 species